GGGUGACUAGUCUAGUGGUCAGGACGCUUCGUUGUGGUUGUCUCUGUAAAAAGAGCAUCACGUAUGAUUCCGAAGAAACCCCGGUUCGAUUCCGGGGUUGCCCA